rnacentral:rRNA from 1 species
CCUACGGGUGGCAGCAGUGGGGAAUAUUGCGCAAUGGGCGCAAGCCUGACGCAGCGACGCCGCGUGAAGGAAGAAGGCUUUCGGGUUGUAAACUUCUUUUCUCAGGGAAGAAACAAGUGACGAUACCUGGGGUAUAAGCCGCGGCUAACUAUGUGACAGCCGCCGCGGUAAUACGUAGGGGGCGAGCGUUAUCCGGAUUUACUGGGUGUAAAGGGCGUGUAGGCGGGAAAGAAAGUCAGUUGUGAAAACCAUGGGCUCAACUUGUGACCUGCAUGUGAAACUGUUUUUCUUGAGUACUGGAGAGGAAAGCGGAAUUCCUAGUGUAGCGGUGAAAUGCGUAGAUAUUAGGAGGAACACCAGUGGCGAAGGCGGUCUUCUGGACAGCAACUGACGCUGAGGCGCGAAAGCGUGGGGAGCAAACAGGAUUAGAUACCCCUGUAGUC